rnacentral:rRNA from 1 species
CCUACGGGUGGCAGCAGUGAGGAAUAUUGGUCAAUGGACGGAAGGCUGAACCAGCCAUGCCGCGUGAAGGAAGACGGCGCUAUGAAUUGUAAACUGCUUUUGUAAGAGGGUAAAAUCAGGUACGCGUAUCUGUCUGAAGGUAUCGUACGAAUAAGGAUCGGCUAACUCCGUGCCAGCAGCCGCGGUAAUACGGAGGAUGCAAGCGUUAUCCGGAUUUAUUGGGUUUAAAGGGUGCGUAGGCGGUCGGAUAAGUUAGAGGUGAAAUCCCGAGGCUCAACUUCGGAAUAGCCUCUGAUACUGGCUGGCUAGAGAGUAGUUGCGGUAGGCGGAAUGCAUGGUGUAGCGGUGAAAUGCUUAGAGAUCACACAGAACACCGAUUGCGAAGGCAGCUUACCAAGCUAGUUCUGACGCUGAGGCACGAAAGCGUGGGGAGCAAACAGGAUUAGAUACCCCAGUAGUC